AUUGAACGCUGGCGGCAGGCCUAAUACAUGCAAGUCGAACGGAGUGGCGGACGGGUGAGUAAUGUCUAGGAAUCUGCCUGGUCGAGGGGGAUAACGUCGGGAAACGGGCGCUAAUACCGCUAACUACCAGUUGGGGCUAGGUUGGAUUAGCUAGUUGGUGGGGUAAAGGCCGACCAAGGCGACGAUGCGUACCUGGUCUGAGAGGAUGAUCAGUCACACUGGGACUGAGACACGGUCCAGACUCCUACGGGAGGCAGCAGUGGGGAAUAUUGGGCAAUGGGCGAAAGCCUGACCCAGCCAUGCCGCGUGUGUGAAGAAGGUCUUCGGAUUGUAAAGCACUUUAAGUUGGGAAGCGUUACCUACAGAAUAAGCACCGGCUAACUACGUGCCAGCAGCCGCGGUAAUUC
rnacentral:rRNA from 1 species